rnacentral:tRNA from 1 species
GUACUCCUAGCUCAAUUGGAUAGAGCUCCGGUCUACGGAACCGAAGGUUAGAGGUUCGAGUCCUCUGGAGUACG